rnacentral:rRNA from 1 species
UACGUAGGGUGCAAGCGUUAAUCGGAAUUACUGGGCGUAAAGGGCGCGUAGGCGGCAAUUCAAGUCAUCUGUGAAAUCUCCGGGCUUAACCCGGAACGGUCAGGUGAUACUGUUUUGCUAGAGUGCGGAAGGGGCAAUCGGAAUUCUCGGUGUAGCGGUGAAAUGCGCAGAUAUCAGGAGGAACACCAAUGGCGAAGGCAGCACUCUGGGACGUGACUGACGCUGAGACGCGAAAGCGUGGGGAGCAAACAGG